rnacentral:rRNA from 1 species
UACGUAGGGCGCAAGCGUUGUCCGGAUUUAUUGGGCGUAAAGAGCUCGUAGGCGGUUUGUCGCGUCGGCCGUGAAAUCUCCACGCUUAACGUGGAGCGUGCGGUCGAUACGGGCAGACUUGAGUUCGGUAGGGGAGACUGGAAUUCCUGGUGUAGCGGUGAAAUGCGCAGAUAUCAGGAGGAACACCAACGGCGAAGGCAGCUCGCUGGGACGGUACUGACGCUGAGGCGCGAAAGCGUGGGGAGCGAACAGG